CGGUGCUUCAGCUGGCCCAAGAUCAUGAUCUCGGUGACGUAGUUCCGCCUGGUUUGCUCCAACAGCAGCGUCAAUUUUUUCACUGCCACCGGCGCAUCAACGCGCCGACGAUCUCGCAGGUCCCCUCUGUACACUGCUCCAAAGGUGCCGGCGCCGAGCUUCCUGUCCUGGGAGAAGCUGUCGGUCGCCAAGGUCAGCUCGUGGUACGAGAAUUUCCUGGCAACUGAAUUUCAGAGUUUUGAGCGCAUUUGUCUUAAGUUUAAGUCGCUUGAUUUAAGAAAUUUAAACGUCGAGAAGACUACAUUUACCUGGCAACUCUAUCUCCAUCGGCGGUGGCGGGCGCUUUCGACGCAUCAUGAUGAAGCAAGUCAUAGCAACCACUAAACCUGCUAGUAAUGCACUUGCAGCAGACAGCACUAGUAUUACCCAUAGUUGGAUCUUAGUACUACUGCUAGAUGGAUCUGUACGUCCGUGGAACAUCAGUAAUUGACGGAAUUUGUAGACAGCAGAGGGGGUAUCGAGAAAAAAUUAAAAUAAUCUACAUUUUAAAAUGGAGGAAGUAGUAGGUAGUACCUGUUGAGCUAAAAGACCAGGAUAGUAGCUGAUGCGACUCGAACAGGUUCCCUGUGGCCGCCGAAAAUCCCACGGCCGCGUCCGGACCCAGUCCUGCAACGGCCUUCAAGUCCAACGUCGCUUGGACGCUGACACUACUCCCGUUGGCCAGUCGUAGGGUCACCACCAUCAGCUUGGAGCCUGCGUCGUACGCGAUGUUCGCCUCCAUGGGGCCAGAGAGGCUCCCGUUUGCCAAGUCCUUGGUGUAGUUGAUAAUGUUCCAGAUGUUGCCCACCUCGAUGCCGACGUGAUCGGUGGUGAUGUCAUUAGGUUCCCAAUCUGCUGGUGCUGCGUUCCAGAACGUGUCGAACUCCACGCCGACGGUUCCCUGCGCCAACUUAUUCUUGGCGAAGAGCCCGAGGAAGGCGCCGUCCGAGUCCUGUGGCAGGCUUGGGGUGAAAGGCCCGACGAAGAACGCCAUGCCGUCGGCCCCUGUGUUGUCACCGCUGCCGCUUCGCCCGAUGGCGAACGAGAAGCUCGUGUGGAAGCUGGCUCGCUCGCCGGUGCGGUCGUCCCAUAGGCGCACCGCCUCCUUGUAGGCCACACGGCCGGUGCUCCAUUUGUUCACCUUUGUAAUACUGAUUCCGUCGCCGGCGGCAGAGGAGUUGCCGUUGGCGUACCAGAGCUUUUCUUGGUCGCUCGCCUUGGAGAAGUUAUAGCUGAAAGACACAGCAGCGGUGUUGUGAGGAGACAUCAAGCACAAGUGAGCAGUUGCGAGGAGGAGGAAGGGGGAAGCUCUUCGAUAGGCCAUGGUUGGGCAGCAGGAGAAGAGCAAUAUCGCUCUGCUCUCUUCGUUACAGCGAGCUGGGGUUUUCCGUUCGCAAGAGAAACUAUAGCGUGGGCCAAAUAUCUAUGGAGGUCGAGAGAUUUGGUCUAGCGUGGGCGUCACUCACAGCGGCCUCCACAGCCUGCAGUGUUAGAGAUCGCUGUGGUAGCUGCUUGACCAGUAAGUAAGCGAUGGUCACCAAAUUGAACUUUUCUAUUAACGAAGCGUCGAGGAAACAACAUUCCCCAGGCCAGAUUUUUCCUGUCCAGGCAUCGCGUCGACCAAUGUGUGAUUAUUGUUCAGACGGAACAGCAUGCACCAUGAACGGAUUUCUGAGAAAUUCUCACGAGAUUAUUGUUUUACCGUGCUGCACGCAUUGUCACUCCAUCCAUUUUCUUCAAAAGCCCCACUCGACGACCUCAUCUUAUCCCCGCAUGGCAAGUCCAACCUUAUCACUCCAUUUAUUUUCUUGAGUAAAAUGCCCGGCUGUUCCUCGAAUUUAGCUCGGUGUACUGUCUAGAUUCCCAAGCUCCCAAAAUGCACAUUUUAACUCUCGAAACUUGCUAAUCUCUUUAUACGAGGUCCAAAUCACAUUUGCUCGCGGAAUUACAUAUAGAAUUGUGAGGAAUGGGAUAAUUGAAAAAUCAACUGACGCCCUUGAUUCCGCCCAGAGUUGGUGACAAAAUCAACUGACGCCGCUGUGCACGGGUUGGCUCACCAAAAAUUGACGUCGAUCCAAGCGAACCUACGCAUGUGUAGUCAAGGCUAAAAUUUUGGUAGGGCAAGCAUAAGAGCAAUCCAAACAUAUCCUUAACUACCAUACAUAUGUAGUAUCAUGGUCAGUAAUGCUAGAGUCAGACAUGAAUUAUUUGAAAGAGUUUAAUACACCUACACCUUCUGGCACACCGCCGGAUGUGCGAACCAUGACCGACCGCCACGCACGGCAACGCACGAUAAACAUAAAAAAAACAAUGUGCACUAAAGAUAUUGUCUCAAAUAAAUCAGGUAAGAGAAAACAAUGGUCAGCAAAUUAAAUGAUGGACAGCCGCCAGCAUGCCCUACUAGGGUGAGAGUGCUCAGGUAGUGACAACUUCAGGUUCAGGUAACGGGUGCUUGAGAUUCGAGAGCAAAUUGACAGCUUCUUCCGGCGAUCCCGGUGGACACACAAGAGCCCGACGAGCAUCACGCGCUCCAUCCGGUUCUCGUCGUAGUCGCCGCCCAGCCGCGCGUCGGCCAUCUCGAGGACCGCACCCUUGCCGUAAGACUCCCGGACAGCGUUGAGGAGGACGUUAGGUAGGCCUAGUUCUUCAUCGUCCCGCUGCACCCGUGGCCUCUUGCCCGUGGCGAUCUCUAGCAGCAGCACCCCGAAGCUGUACAUGUCAGACGCCGUGGUCGCCGAGCCAGCGGUGACGCACAUGUGGGGUCCAUGUAAUCCCAGCUCCCGACCAUGACCGUGUCAUUGAGGGAGCCCUGCCCGGGCUUGACCUGCCUCACGAGCCCGAAGUCGCCGAGCUUGGCCUCAAACGCGUCGUCCAGCAUCACGUUGCUGGGCUUGAUGUCCCGGUGCAAGAUGGGGUUCUGGUAGCCUGUGUGGAGGUAUUCUAUGGCGGAGCCGAUGCCCAGCACGAUCUUGUACCUCUCAGGCCAUGUCAGCAGGCUCUCUGACCCAUGGAGGUGCUCGUCGAGGCUCUUGUUGGAUACCAGCUCAUACACGAGCAGCAGCUUGUCGCUGCCACCUCCGUCACACCAGCCGACGAGAUUCACGAGGUUCCGGUGGCUCAACUGGCCUAAGGUCAUGAUCUCCGUGACGUAGUCCCUCCAAGUGUACUCCAUCAGCUUUGUCAACCUCUUCACUGCCACAGGCGGCAUGCGCGGAUCCCGCAGCUCCCCUCUGUACACUUCCCCGAAGGAUCCUUCACCGAGCUUCCUGUCCUUGGAGAAGUUCUUGAUCGCCGUGGACAGUUCGCCGUAUGAGAAUUUCCUUGCCACUGGGUUUUGUUUCAGAAAGGAGAGAGAGAGAUACUAGUAAGUUCGCUACCCAGUGUGCACUGCUUUAACUCGUUUGAUAUAUAUAUAUAUAAGAAAUCAAAUAGACAGACGAUAGAUGAUGUUUACCUAGCAACGGUAUCGCCUCCGGUCCCUGUCUACGCAUGACAAGGCAAAGCAGAGCAGCCACUAAACCGGCUAAUGAUGCACUUGCGAGAGCUAUCAAAAUUAUAACCCAUAGCUCGGUCUUAGAUGGAUCUGUCAGUGGAGACCAAUAAUAAUAAGCAUUAUUUAGCGGAGAAGAAAAUGAAAAGCUGACAAGUCAUAACCACUCACCACUCAGAACGUGAAUCCAUGACAAUUAGUGUUGGAGAGGAUAGCACGUACUCCCUUCGCCGCCCCCCCCCCCCCCCCCCCUAAAUGCAACUUUCGCUUCCUAACAAGUCAACUAAUUUUAAAUUUGACUAAAUUUAUACCUGGUAUAAAAUAAAUAUCAAUAGAUUAAUCAUGUAAUAUAUAUUCAUACUAAAUCUAUAUGGAGACAUGAAUGUUAGUAUUUUUUAAAAUUUUUUGAUCAAACUUGAAACUGUUUGACUCCUCAAUAAGCGAGAGUUGCAUUUUUUUUUACGAGGAAGUUGAAUUUUUACAUGGCUAGCUAGUAGUUUUCCAUGAGGAAGUCUAAAACGAGUGUUUUUGGUGCACCCCUUGAGGUACUCCAAAAAAACGUGGAUCUGACCCCCAACUCCAUAUUUUUUCUGGAGCUGGAGUUGGUGGAGUUGGACGUGUUUGAAGUUUUGUGGAGUUGAUGGAGUGGACCUGUUUUUUUGAGUGAAGUGCUACCAAACACCCCUUUAGUAUCAAGUUCAGUAUUGCUAGAGACGGACACAAUUCAUCGAUAAAUAUUGAUAGUUUUUUCACGACCAUGCCUGUGAGCACGUUGCUAGAGAGUUAGUUAUAUCUACCACUUCUAGCAAACUGUUAGAUAUGCUAACCACGACGGACCGCCAUGGACAGCGGCAAACACGACAAACAUGUAUACACCAAAGAUAUUGUCUCAAAUAAAUAUGACAAGAGAAAACAAUGGUCACACGGAUUAAAGGAUGGACAGCCGACAGCAUACCCUACUAGGGUAAAGCCGUAAAGGAGACACUGAACUACAUACUCCCUACUAGGUGCACGUCUGAGAUUCAGGCAGCAAUCAUUUUCUAAUCAUAUGCUGAUACCUUCAGGUUCAGGUAACGGGUGUCUGAGAUUCGAGAGUAAAUUGACAGCUUCUCUGAUGCCCAGCCGGUUCCCACGAUCCUGGUUGACACACAGGAGCCCGACGAGCAUCACACGCUCCAUCUGCCUCUCGUCGAAGUCGCCGUUCAGCCGCGCGUCGGCCAUCUCGAGGACCGCACCCUUGCCGUAAGACUCCCGGACAGCGUCGACGAGGGCGUUUCGGAGGCUUAGUUCUUCAUCGUCCCGCGGCACCCGUGGCCUCUUGCCGGUGGCGAUCUCCAGCAGCAGCACCCCGAAGCUGUACAUGUCGGACGCCGUGGUCGCCGAGUCGGUGGUGAUGCACUUAGGGUCCAUGUACUCCCAGCUCCCGACCAUGGCCGUGCCUCUGAGGGAGCCCUGCCCGGGAUGGACCUGCCUCACGAGCCCGAAGUCGCCGAGCUUGGCCUCAAACGCGUCGUCCAGCAUCACGUUGCUGGGCUUGAUGUCCCGGUGCAGGAUGGCGUCCUUGUCGCCGGUGUGGAGGUAUUCUAUGGCGGAGCCGAUGCCCAGAACGAUCUUGUACCUCUCCGGCCAUGUCAGCAGCCUCUCCGACGACCCGUGGAGGUGGUCGUCGAGGCUCCCGUUGGUUACCAGCUCGUACACGAGCAGAAGCUUGUCGUCUCCACCGCCGUCGCACCACCCAACGAGCUUCACAAGGUUGCGGUGCUUCAGCUGGCCCAAGAUCAUGAUCUCGGUGACGUAGUCCCGCCUGGUUUGCUCCAACAGCAGCGUCAAUUUUUUCACUGCCACCGGCGCAUCAACGCGCCGACGAUCUCGCAGGUCCCCUCUGUACACUGCUCCAAAGGUGCCGGCGCCGAGCUUCCUGUCCUGGGAGAAGCUGUCGGUCGCCAAGGUCAGCUCGUGGUACGAGAAUUUCCUGGCAACUGAAUUUCAGAGUUUUGAGCGCAUUUGUCUUAAGUUUAAGUCGCUUGAUUUAAGAAAUUUAAACGUCGAGAAGGCUACAUUUACCCGGCAACUCUAUCUCCAUCGGCGG
rnacentral:lncRNA from 1 species